rnacentral:rRNA from 1 species
AACGAACGCUGGCGGCAUGCCUAACACAUGCAAGUCGAACGAGACCUUCGGGUCUAGUGGCGCACGGGUGCGUAACGCGUGGGAACCUGCCCUUAGGUUCGGAAUAACUCCCCGAAAGGGGUGCUAAUACCGGAUAAUGUCUUCGGACCAAAGAUUUAUCGCCUUUGGAUGGGCCCGCGUUGGAUUAGCUAGUUGGUAGGGUAAAAGCCUACCACGGCGACGAUCCAUAGCUGGUCUGAGAGGAUGAUCAGCCACACUGGGACUGAGACCCGGCCCAGACUCCUACGGGAGGCAGCAGUGGGGAAUAUUGGACAAUGGGCGAAAGCCUGAUCCAGCAAUGCCGCGUGAGUGAUGAAGGCCGUAGGGUUGUAAAGCUCUUUUACCCGGGAUGAUAAUGACAGUACCGGGAGAAUAAGCUCCGGCUAACUCCGUG